CCUGGGUGGUUCAAAUGAUUAACAUGUUUGGCUGCUAAUCAAAAGUUUGAGGGUUUGAGUCCUCCACCCAGAG
rnacentral:tRNA from 1 species